GGGGGAAGUGUUUGUGCACCUGUCUGAAGAAAGACUUAACACACCCUAAUCCUCCAUGGGCUUCUCCUCAGCUCAGCAUAGGCACGCCAUUGGGUCUCACCUGAAACUUUGUCUGCUGCACCUAGUCACAACAAGGCAGGCCCCGCGCCUGGCUCUUGGUGUGGCUGUUUCCUGACUUCUCCAAGCUUAUCUUGGCGCCUGGAGAAGGGCACCCGGCGACCACGACAGGCAAACGCUAUUCCUGACAGGACCGCACCACGGCCCCAGGGGGCCCAGCGCUCAGCUCGCGGAGAAACAGCUGCGGAAGCUGAGCUCUGGUGAGACAAAGGCAAUGCUGGUGGGCAGAGGAAAGUGUUCGGAAGCGUUUCCAGCCAUGCGGUGCAGGACAACAGCGUGCUCGGGUACCACAGCGAGGAGCACGGUACGGAACUCGGCACACGGGGCCGGCAGCUCUGAAGCAGAUCUGCAGAGCUCGAGGGGUAAGAGUCUACGCACAAGCACAGAAGCAGCCCCACCCCACUCCCCCGACACACAUUCCCCAUCCUAGGCCGGCUUUCUGUUCCUGGUGUGCUGGCUGGCUUGGAGCAGAGCACCCGGAGUCCGUUGGCUGGAGGAGGCUUGCUGGAAGGUGGCACAGUGAGUGACAAGCAUCUCUGGAAAGCCAUGGGAAGGCAGCUCGCAUGGGCUGAGGGCUAUCGGGAGUUGCAGUGCCCCUGGCUUUCCAUGCAGUCAGAUUUCACCAGAGCCUCCCCAGCUACAGGUCACUGUUUCUGCUUCCAGACCUGAGUGAAGGCAGAAGGAGCAAAGGCUGGGGAAACCGAGGAAAGCAGUGACCCUUCUUAGGACUCCGGCAGAUAUUGGCGGGUGUGUUUGGCUCUCAGUCACUGGGCAGUCGGUCAAUGGCAGAUUAGGAUUGCAACAAAGGGCACAUCAGAAAGCCUCUGAGGAUAGGACAAGAAGCAAGGGGCUUAAACUGCAGCAAGGGAG